rnacentral:tRNA from 1 species
GCCGGAGUGGCGGAACGGUAGACGCAGCGGACUCAAAAUCCGCCGGGCGCAAGCCCAUGGGGGUUCGAUUCCCCCCUCCGGCACCA